AACGGACACGACGCAGAGAGAGGCACCGAGUGAAACCUAUUCUGAACAGAUGUUAGUAUUUUACAAAAGUCACGUGAAAUGAACAGAUGUUGUUGUAGAACAGGGACUCGCCUUGGUUCGAGAGCAUUCCUCGACAGAAAGGCUUCGAAAUAAGAUCGGAGAGAAGCAUUCGCGUUCUAUUCACAACAAAAAACGACUCAGCACAUCGUGUGGGUGAUAAUAGAUUACCACGGGCCUCACCUGCGAUGGAACCUCGGCCUACGUCCCAUAGGAAAUAUAUCAAACUAAAAUGGACGGUUCCAACCGCGCAGGAAUUUGCUGGAGAUUAGGAUGUCGGUUAAAACCCUGGAUGGGAGACCAAAGAGGAGCUGGAGAUUCAUCAAUUCUCCAGUAGGAGGUGCUGCCCAGUGGAGUGAAGUUGAAGAUCUGAUGUUGUUUUAAAGCAGGGGCGUUUGUGAAGCAGGUCGUCAACAGGCUGACUCAUCACAUAUGGCCCCAGAACCGUGUCCCUCUGCCAAGAUGACACUGCACAGGAUAUAGUCCUCAUCAUCAGCCACCUGGUCAGGUGACCCUGACAACAACAACAACAACAACAACAACAACAACAACAACAACAACAAGGAACAAACAAAAGUUGAUUGGAUGGUGUAAGAGAUGAUCCUGACUGCAAGUUUCCAUUGUGGUCCGACUGAAUCUACCAAUGAUAUCCUGGUGUAUCUGCUUCUGGACUGAACAGGGCUGGAGAGAACCACAGUUCCUCUCAACAAAUAGGCCCACAUCAAUGAACUUCUCCAGCUGAGACCGUGUGGAAUACUGAUGUGAUACUCAUACAUGCAAAAUGCUACUACAGGAUAGAAUAGCAUGGAGAACUGUAUGACACAAACAACAGUCAUACUGAAGCUAACAUGGACAAGUUUGCAAUGAUGCGAUAUUUAGGAAUUGAUACCGACAAAAUAGUGGGUGGAUGAUCACUAGUUACAAUAGGGAAAUUGCACACACUUUCUUUUUAGGAUUAUAUUUAUAGAUGUUAUGUUUUACAAGUAUUUUUUUGAUUAUGGUAUAGCUUAUAAAUACCAAUUUCUGCUUUUCUUAUCUUUAUUUAGAGAACAUGUAUGUUGGCACAUUUUAUUGCGAAUAUUAAUAUUUGGUGCUUGAUGAGAAGUUAUCUUCAAAAAGUUUUGUAAUAAGAUUUGGUUGUACGAUAUUAAAGACAUGGAAGGCUGUUUUAAGUACUGAACUAUGUACGAUGAUCCGAUAACUGUAUCAUCUAUAUUAGAUUGAGAUGUUUGUGAAACUAAUCCGGUGAGUCACAGAAGUUGAGAGUUGAAAGUGUUCAGUCUCGUUAAACAACCCAAAACCUCUUAGAGAUAAUACCACCGUGUCAUGUGUCUGUACCCUGAUCCCUGCAGGAAACCCAU